ACCAGGAUGGCCGAGUGAUUAAGGCGUUGGACUUAAGAACCAAUGACUGUGUGUCCACGUGGGUUCAAAUUCCACACCUGGUA
rnacentral:tRNA from 1 species